CCUGGCAGAUUGCCAUACAGGUAGCCGUUGACAGCUGGAAGAGAAGGAAAAAUCCUGGUUAGCGGCAGGUCCACAGAAAUGCAUCACAGAGCCUCCUGCCAUCUACCUGGCCAGAGACUCACGACUCAGCAAGUCACUAAAGGGGCAUUUUGUGAAGCAAAGAUAUAGUUGGUAGAUGGAUGCAUUCAUUGCCACUGUGACUGGGGUUUUAACGUGCACUCCAAGGGCACCAGGAGCUGGCCAUAAGCUGACUGACAGCUUUACAUCUCACUCUCCAGUGCAGUGCAGAGGGAUCUGAAGGAUGAUAAAACCUGCCAACUUAUCUUCCUAACAUGACUGAAUAAAAGAUACCAGCUGUCAUUCUCAUCAAAAAUUGAAAAGAGGAGGUAAAAUUCUCUGUCUAUUCCUUUCUGUAGAC